rnacentral:rRNA from 1 species
AGCGAACGCUGGCGGCAGGCCUAACACAUGCAAGUCGAGCGCACCUUCGGGUGAGCGGCGGACGGGUGAGUAACGCGUGGGAACGUGCCCUUUGGUACGGGAUAACUGAGGGAAACUUCAGCUAAUACCGUAUGUGCCCUACGGGGGAAAGAUUUAUCGCCAUUGGAGCGGCCCGCGUUGGAUUAGGUAGUUGGUGAGGUAAAGGCUCACCAAGCCUACGAUCCAUAGGUGGUCUGAGAGGAUGAUCAGCCACACUGGGACUGAGACACGGCCCAGACUCCUACGGGAGGCAGCAGUAGGAAAUCUUGCGCAAUGGGCGAAAGCCUGACGCAGCCAGGCCGCGUGAAUGAUGAAGGUCUUAGGAUUGUAAAAUUCUUUCACCGGGGAAGAUAAUGACGGUACCCGGAGAAGAAGCCCCAGCUAACUUCGUGCCAGCCGCCGCGGUAAGAC